rnacentral:rRNA from 1 species
GACGAACGCUGGCGGCGUGCUUAACACAUGCAAGUCGAACGGAAAGGCCCUGCUUUUGUGGGGUGCUCGAGUGGCGAACGGGUGAGUAACACGUGAGUAACCUGCCCUUGACUUUGGGAUAACUUCAGGAAACUGGGGCUAAUACCGGAUAGGAGCUCCUGCUGCAUGGUGGGGGUUCGAAAGUUUCGGCGGUUGGGGAUGGACUCGCGGCUUAUCAGCUUGUUGGUGGGGUAGUGGCUUACCAAGGCUUUGACGGGUAGCCGGCCUGAGAGGGUGACCGGCCACAUUGGGACUGAGAUACGGCCCAGACUCCUACGGGAGGCAGCAGUGGGGAAUAUUGCACAAUGGGCGGAAGCCUGAUGCAGCGACGCCGCGUGCGGGAUGACGGCCUUCGGGUUGUAAACCGCUUUCGCCUGUGACGAAGCGUGAGUGACGGUAAUGGGUAAAGAAGCACCGGCUAACUACGUG